UGUAUAAUAAAUAGCCGCAGUACCUUGACUGUGCAAAGGUAGCAUAAUCAAUUGGCUUAUAAUUGAAGUCUAGAAUGAAGGAAAGAAUGGGGGCAGACUAUAUAAUAGACGCAUCUAUAAAUUACUUAAUAAGUGAAAAUUCUUAUUUAUAAAUAAUAGACGAGAAGACCCUAGAAAUUUAUGGCAAUUCUAACUCAUGGCUUUUGUUGGGGCGACACAGUAGCACUAUAACCUACUAAGCAAGAUUAGCCAGCUGUAUCAAGUGUAAAGAAAUUACUCUAGGGAUAACAGCAUAAUAUUUAAAAGUUUGUGACCUCGAUGUUGGACUAGGAAAUUAUAGCCCAGAAGGUUAUUAUUAAGGCUCUGUUCGAGCCAAUUUCUCCUACGUGAUCUGAGUUCAGACCGG
rnacentral:rRNA from 1 species